rnacentral:rRNA from 1 species
GAGAUAGAGGCGUGCUCGAAAGAGAGCCGUAACACAGGUGCUGCAUGGCUGUCGUCAGCUCGUGUCGUGAGAUGUUGGGUUAAGUCCCGCAACGAGCGCAACCCUUGUCAUUAGUUGCUACAUUCAGUUGGGCACUCUAAUGAGACUGCCGGUGACAAGCCGGAGGAAGGUGGGGAUGACGUCAAGUCCUCAUGGCCCUUAUAGGUGGGGCUACACACGUCAUACAAUGGCUGGUACAAAGGGUUGCCAACCCGCGAGGGGGAGCUAAUCCCACAAAGCCAGUCGUAGUCCGGAUCGUAGUCUGCAACUCGACUACGUGAAGUCGGAAUCGCUAGUAAUCGUGGAUCAGAAUGUCACGGUGAAUACGUUCCCGGGUCUU